rnacentral:rRNA from 1 species
GGGGUACGAGCUUAAUCUCCCAACCCCUGUGACAUACCACUUGUUGCCUCGGCGGAUCAGCCCGCUCCCGGUAAAACGGGACGGCCCGCCAGAGGACCCCUAAACUCUGUUUCUAUAUGUAACUUCUGAGUAAAACCAUAAAUAAAUCAAAACUUUCAACAACGGAUCUCUUGGUUCUGGCAUCGAUGAAGAACGCAGCAAAAUGCGAUAAGUAAUGUGAAUUGCAGAAUUCAGUGAAUCAUCGAAUCUUUGAACGCACAUUGCGCCCGCCAGUAUUCUGGCGGGCAUGCCUGUUCGAGCGUCAUUUCAACCCUCAAGCACAGCUUGGUGUUGGGACUCGCGUUAAUUCGCGUUCCUCAAAUUGAUUGGCGGUCACGUCGAGCUUCCAUAGCGUAGUAGUAAAACCCUCGUUACUGGUAAUCGUCGCGGCCACGCCGUUAAACCCCAACUUCUGAAUGUUGACCUCGGAUCAGGUAGGAAUACCCGCUGAACUUAAGCAUAUCAAUAGCCGGAGGAA